CACAAUGUUAUACUGGAGAGCAGGAAGAGCUGUGUUGGGUAUAAGUAACAGACUUUUCUUUUUUUCUAUUUUUCUAUGUGGCUCUUUGCA
rnacentral:pre_miRNA from 2 species